rnacentral:rRNA from 1 species
AUACGGAGGGUGCGAGCGUUAUUCGGAAUCACUGGGCGUAAAGGACGCGUAGGCGGGUUGGCAAGUCAGAUGUGAAAUCCUACAGCUUAACUGUAGAACUGCAUUUGAAACUGCUAACCUAGAGUAUGGGAGGGGGAGAUGGAAUUAGUGGUGUAGGGGUAAAAUCCGUAGAUAUCACUAGGAAUACCGAAAGCGAAGGCGAUCUCCUGGAACAUAACUGACGCUAAGGCGUGAAAGCGUGGGGAGCAAACAGGAUUAGAAACCCCGGUAGUCC